CUGUGGGAAAAUUGUUAUCAGUCAUGCAAUUUCCAAGGUGAUGAACUCAUUUGGUGAUGUUAAAGGGAAAGUAGCUAUAAUGGUGGACAACAUGAUCGACACAGCAGGACCUGUGGUCGCAGCUGCAAGAUUUAUUCCGGAACAACAGGUUGUUGGAGCUUAU